AUCACUUCUCGGCCUUUUGGCUAAGAUCAAGUGUAUUACAUGACACAUACUAGGCACUUAGUAAUAUUUUUAGAGUGAUUGAACAGACUGAUUUGUUUUCACUGCUUUAAAAGUCCUCCCCUG
ensembl:snRNA U2 U2 spliceosomal RNA